AUAAACCAGUAACACGCAUCUGACAGUCUGGAUCACCACAGCUCGCAUUCUUACAGAAGGGUCCAGUGUCUGAAUGAAAACAGCAUCAAAAUGGCUCUCUUAUGGCUCACACUGUUACUUGUUCAACAAGGAUAUACUUUUGCUCCAGUGGUCACAGUUGAACUUGGUCAGUCUGUAACUCUGACAUGUGCUUUUAGCAGAAAAUAUCAAAGCACCUCAUGGGUUUACUGGUACAAGCAACGUUCUGGAGAUAUACUAAAUUUAAUUGUGAUGCAGCAGAGAAGCAUAACACCCAAAUAUGGACCACAGUUCUCUGCCUCAAGAUUCAAAGUUACAUACAGCGGGGACAAAGGAAGUUUGACAAUUAUCUCCACGGUUAAGCAAGAUGAGGGAAUGUAUCACUGUGCUCAAAUGGAUGCACUUGAACAUGCAUGGAAUGGCACAAAUGUAGUAAUAAAAGAUUUUCCUGUGACAGGAUCCAAACUGUCACAGCAGGCCAUCAAAGCUAUUUCUCUGUCUGCUGCCUUACUUUUAUGUCUGAUUGGACUGGCUGUCCUUAUAUGCUUCAUCAACAGAUUUAACAAUGGACAUCGUCUUGAGUCUGUCAAGAUGAAGGAAAGCUGUGCUCAGAGCAGGCAACAGAGAGAGGAAGAAAUAAGAAUGUACUCUUCUGCCAUUUUUACCAAGAUGAAAACCGACAAUACUGACACAGAGAAAACAUCUGAAAGAAAGAUGAUCUUCACUGCAGAAGCCUUCAGUCUUUAAAAAAUGUCUCAAAAACCUUGUGCUAAUUUAUCAGGUUCUAUUGAACAAUGUAUAACCUUAUAGAUUGAAUGCAUCGGUCUAACUUUGAUUAAACAUGAUAAUCUACUGCUUUUCAUUAAUUUACACAGAAUAUUAAGGUAUAACGGAUAUCAUACUAUUGUGAACUUACCAUUUGAUCAACAAACAGAAAAUGUAAAGGAACCUCAAACUGGCAGUAAAAGAAAAAAUGCUUUAAGAUUGGUAUAUUUCUAAGAGCUAACUAAAGAUAUUUUUUGCUUUAAUUUCAAAUGCUGUUUUGUCAUAUGUUAAAUAUUGUUCCUAUUUUUUAUUAAUUCCUUGUUACUUGAUCCUGGUCGUCAGUUUUUUUUCUUUUUAAAAUUUGUUCUGAUAUGUUUUGCUGUACAGUAUAUUAAACUGAUUUA